rnacentral:rRNA from 1 species
UACAGAGGUCCCAAGCGUUGUUCGGAUUCAUUGGGCGUAAAGGGUGCGUAGGUGGCGUCGUAAGUCGGGUGUGAAAUCUCGGGGCUUAACUCCGAAACUGCAUUCGAUACUGCGGUGCUUGAGGACUGGAGAGGAGACUGGAAUUUACGGUGUAGCAGUGAAAUGCGUAGAGAUCGUAAGGAAGACCAGUGGCGAAGGCGAGUCCCUGGACAACACCUGACACUGAGGCACGAAAGCUAGGGGAGCAAACAGG